GCCAUAUUACGUUGAAAUAUUGAUUCCCGUACGACCACCGACGUUAAGCAAAGUCGUGCCUGGUCAGUACCUAGAUGGGUAACCGCUUGGGAAUACUAGAUG